CACAGAACAUUCCAUUUAACAGAGGCUCUCGGAACGAUUCAUUUUUGCUAUGAGUCUUGAUAAAUUGGAGAAGAGCCCAAGAGAAAUUUUUCAUCACUUGAUAAAAAAGGGAUCGGUGAAUUUUAACUUUGGAGUCCUCUAUGCUAAGGAUGCUCAGCUUACAGAUGAUGAAAUGUUCAGUAAUGUAUUUGCUGCAGCUCUGCUUACCCAAGCUUUGGGUUCCUUCUGUCCCACUGGGAGUUGCCCAGUUUGGUUGCAUCUGGUGAAAUUCACCCUGAGACCUUACAGAACUAGCUCAAACUACAUGAGAGCCAUUUGCAGUUCUCUCCAGACACCUGGAGAAUGGGUGAUGUUUCUGAGGAUCUGGCAAGUAUACUUCUAUCAAAACUCAGUCUGUGAAAUUUCUGGGGAAAACCCUUCUGUGUCCUGAAGGGUUCAAACUCUGGUGAGGAUCCAGUUAUCAGGUGCUCACCUGGAUGGUUCCAGCUCUUAAAGUGAACACUUGUACUCUUGCCCUGUAGUUUAUAUGUAUUGUAUUUUUGUUAUUUUGCAAGAUUUUACAGCUUUGCAAAAUACUGGGCAUUUCACUCUUUGGAACCUCUCAGAUCGUUCUUUGGUGCAGCACCACCUCAUGGGACACUUGGCUGCUGUCCUGAAGGGGUUGGUCGCUAGAAUUGUAAAUCCUGGAGAGUUUAUAAGUCUUCUGUCCCCAGGGAGGUAUCAUGCUUUGUUUACUUUUGUUCUGUUUGUUAGGCACUGCUUCUCGUUGGAAGUAUGAAUUUCAAACUACCCUGUUCUUUUUUUAACAGUUUUCCUGGUUCUCUCCGUACGGCAGGGAAAGACUCUCGUAUCCUUGUCGUCAGGCUCGGUGCUGUCCAAGAAGAUACAGAGACUAAAAAAAUCAUAAGAAGCAAAAUAUGACUGCAGGGAAAACAAGCUGGAGAGAACAAAAGAAAUGGAAUUGGGAUGACGCCUCGGCCAGCCCCUCUCUGCCAUCGUCUCCUGAAUCUGCAGCAGAGCAGUUCCAGUCCAUCCGGGCACGUGUAAUCCAGUUCCUGAUGAUCUGAGCACACGGAGCAGCACUCAGCUGCUGUGGGGGGCUCAGGGAAGGCAGAGUGUGCAUUGUCAUCUUCCUGAACCUACAGACGAAUCAAAGUGAGAAGCUACAGCGUGGAAAUCAGUCGCAUAUAUGCUAAAUAAAACUUGCAGAUUUUUUAAAGAA